rnacentral:rRNA from 1 species
GAUGAACGCUGGCGGCGUGCUUAACACAUGCAAGUCGAACGAAGCAUUUGCGACAGAUUUUUUCGGAAUGAAGUUGCUUAUGACUGAGUGGCGGACGGGUGAGUAACGCGUGGGUAACCUGCCUUGUACUGGGGGAUAGCAGCUGGAAACGGCUGGUAAUACCGCAUAAGCGCACAAUGUUGCAUGACAUGGUGUGAAAAACUCCGGUGGUAUAAGAUGGACCCGCGUCUGAUUAGCUAGUUGAUGAGAUAACAGCCCACCAAGGCGACGAUCAGUAGCCGACCUGAGAGGGUGACCGGCCACAUUGGGACUGAGACACGGCCCAGACUCCUACGGGAGGCAGCAGUGGGGAAUAUUGCACAAUGGAGGAAACUCUGAUGCAGCGACGCCGCGUGAGUGAAGAAGUAAUUCGUUAUGUAAAGCUCUAUCAGCAGGGAAGAUAGUGACGGUACCUGACUAAGAAGCUCCGGCUAAAUACGUG